AGAGUUUGAUCAUGGCUCAGAUUGAACGCUGGCGGCAGGCCUAACACAUGCAAGUCGAGCGGUAACACAGAGAGCUUGCUCUCGGGUGACGAGCGGCGGACGGGUGAGUAAUGUCUGGGAAACUGCCUGAUGGAGGGGGAUAACUACUGGAAACGGUAGCUAAUACCGCAUAACGUCGCAAGACCAAAGUGGGGGACCUUCGGGCCUCAUGCCAUCAGAUGUGCCCAGAUGGGAUUAGCUAGUAGGUGGGGUAAUGGCUCACCUAGGCGACGAUCCCUAGCUGGUCUGAGAGGAUGACCAGCCACACUGGAACUGAGACACGGUCCAGACUCCUACGGGAGGCAGCAGUGGGGAAUAUUGCACAAUGGGCGCAAGCCUGAUGCAGCCAUGCCGCGUGUAUGAAGAAGGCCUUCGGGUUGUAAAGUACUUUCAGCGAGGAGGAAGGCGUUAAGGUUAAUAACCUUGGCGAUUGACGUUACUCGCAGAAGAAGCACCGGCUAACUCCGUGCCAGCAGCCGCGGUAAUACGGAGGGUGCAAGCGUUAAUCGGAAUUACUGGGCGUAAAGCGCACGCAGGCGGUCUGUCAAGUCGGAUGUGAAAUCCCCGGGCUCAACCUGGGAACUGCAUUCGAAACUGGCAGGCUAGAGUCUUGUAGAGGGGGUAGAAUUCCAGGUGUAGCGGUGAAAUGCGUAGAGAUCUGGAGGAAUACCGGUGGCGAAGGCGGCCCCCUGGACAAAGACUGACGCUCAGGUGCGAAAGCGUGGGGAGCAAACAGGAUUAGAUACCCUGGUAGUCCACGCCGUAAACGAUGUCGACUUGGAGGUUGUGCCCUUGAGGCGUGGCUUCCGGAGCUAACGCGUUAAGUCGACCGCCUGGGGAGUACGGCCGCAAGGUUAAAACUCAAAUGAAUUGACGGGGGCCCGCACAAGCGGUGGAGCAUGUGGUUUAAUUCGAUGCAACGCGAAGAACCUUACCUACUCUUGACAUCCAGAGAACUUAGCAGAGAUGCUUUGGUGCCUUCGGGAACUCUGAGACAGGUGCUGCAUGGCUGUCGUCAGCUCGUGUUGUGAAAUGUUGGGUUAAGUCCCGCAACGAGCGCAACCCUUAUCCUUUGUUGCCAGCGGUUAGGCCGGGAACUCAAAGGAGACUGCCAGUGAUAAACUGGAGGAAGGUGGGGAUGACGUCAAGUCAUCAUGGCCCUUACGAGUAGGGCUACACACGUGCUACAAUGGCAUAUACAAAGAGAAGCGACCUCGCGAGAGCAAGCGGACCUCAUAAAGUAUGUCGUAGUCCGGAUUGGAGUCUGCAACUCGACUCCAUGAAGUCGGAAUCGCUAGUAAUCGUAGAUCAGAAUGCUACGGUGAAUACGUUCCCGGGCCUUGUACACACCGCCCGUCACACCAUGGGAGUGGGUUGCAAAAGAAGUAGGUAGCUUAACCUUCGGGAGGGCGCUUACCACUUUGUGAUUCAUGACUGGGGUGAAGUCGUAACAAGGUAACCGUAGGGGAACCUGCGGUUG
rnacentral:rRNA from 1 species